AUUGAACGCUGGCGGCAGGCUUAACACAUGCAAGUCGAGCGUGCCGCGGACUUUUGAGUUAUUUCUGGGAAACUGCCUUAUGGCGUGGGAUAACUACUGGAAACGGUAGCUAAUCCCCCAUACCAUCGUAUGUUCCCAGAUUGGAUUAGCUAGUAGGUGGGGUAAAGGCUCACCUAGGCGACGAUCCCUAGCUGGUCUGAGAGGAUGACCGGCCACACGUGAACUGAGACACGGGCCAGACUCCUACGGGAGGCAGCAGUGGGGAAGAUUGCACAAUGGGAGCAAGCCUGAUGCAGCCAUGCCGCGUGUAUGAAGAAGGCCUUCGGGUUGUAAAGUACUUUCAGCGGGGAGGCGUGAACCGAAGAAGAAGCACCGGCUAACUCCGUGCCAGCAGCCGCGGUAAUAG
rnacentral:rRNA from 1 species